rnacentral:ncRNA from 1 species
GUGUUGUAUGAAAGCAGAGAAGGUGGGUACUCCCCUUGACAAGGAUGGACGAGGCCCUUGGGCCUGACAACAAGCACACAUACAGUUAAGUCACUGCCACCUACUUUGCGGCAUCUAACCAUCAUUUUGU